GCGGCCAAUACUUGAAAGCACCGCAUCGCGUUCGAUCUGCGAAGGUAAGCAAGGUAUCGCCUGGUUGGUAGUGCGGUUUGGGGGGAGCACGCGGGAAUGGUAGGUGUUGCAGAUU